rnacentral:rRNA from 1 species
GACGAACGCUGGCGGCGUGCUUAACACAUGCAAGUCGAACGGAAAGGCCCUGCUUUUGUGGGGUGCUCGAGUGGCGAACGGGUGAGUAACACGUGAGUAACCUGCCCUUGACUUUGGGAUAACUUCAGGAAACUGGGGCUAAUACCGGAUAGGAGCUCCUGCUGCAUGGUGGGGGUUGGAAAGUUUCGGCGGUUGGGGAUGGACUCGCGGCUUAUCAGCUUGUUGGUGGGGUAGUGGCUUACCAAGGCUUUGACGGGUAGCCGACCUGAGAGGGUGACCGGCCACAUUGGGACUGAGCUACGGCCCAGACUCCUACGGGAGGCAGCAGUGGGGAAUAUUGCACAAUGGGCGGAAGCCUGAUGCAGCAACGCCGCGUGCGGGAUGACGGCCUUCGGGUUGUAAACCGCUUUCGCCUGUGACGAAGCGUGAGUGACGGUAAUGGGUAAAGAAGCACCGGCUAACUACGUG